AGUGAACGCUGGCGGUAGGCCUAACACAUGCAAGUCGAACGGCAGCACAGUAAGAGCUUGCUCUUACGGGUGGCGAGUGGCGGACGGGUGAGGAAUACAUCGGAAUCUACAUUUUCGUGGGGGAUAACGUAGGGAAACUUACGCUAAUACCGCAUACGACCUACGGGUGAAAGCAGGGGAUCUUCGGACCUUGCGCGAUUGAAUGAGCCGAUGUCGGAUUAGCUAGUUGGCGGGGUAAAGGCCCACCAAGGCGACGAUCCGUAGCUGGUCUGAGAGGAUGAUCAGCCACACUGGAACUGAGACACGGUCCAGACUCCUACGGGAGGCAGCAGUGGGGAAUAUUGGACAAUGGGCGCAAGCCUGAUCCAGCCACACCGCGUGGGUGAAGAAGGCCUUCGGGUUGUAAAGCCCUUUUGUUGGGAAAGAAAAGCAGCAGGUUAAUACCCCGCUGUUCUGACGGUACCCAAAGAAUAAGCACCGGCUAACUUCGUG
rnacentral:rRNA from 1 species